CAGUGGCUGGCGUGUCCUUGGUUAAGAUUUGCUGAAAAUCAUUCUGGCUAUCAUCAACAAAUAAUUAAACAACGAAUGUUGGUGAGGAUGUGGAGAAAAAAGAAUCCCCGUGCACUGUUGGUGGGACUGUAAAUCGGUGCAGCCACUAUGAAAAUCGAGGACUUAAUACUCUUACAUUUGGUCACAGUGGUCCGGUGGCAUUAUUCUUCCAUCUUACAGCAGAUGGAGAGAAGGACCUGUACUGAGCAUCCUGCAGAGUAUAUGACUCGGGGUUCACAGGCUCUGCCUUACUCCUUUUUUCCUUAAUUUGAGGAUAUUAGGGUGGUGCCUGAAGACACACUCUGUGGGCUCAAGGCCAGCAGGAUCCUGCUGCUUUUAUCUGGCAGUUAACUUGAAGAGCUAUUAUUCACUGCCCCCGUGUUGUUCCAGAUCCGAAGUCCACGGUGUCUCUGGCCCUGCACAUCUCCAGCCCGAGCCACAUCCAAGGAAGAGGGGGCCUUGACCCAUGCACUGGGCUGCUGCUCUGAGAAGAGGGUUGGCCUUUUAAUUAGUUAAUUUAAAAAUCCGUUUUUCAUAUCCCUUUAAGUUCAUAUCUUAAGCUUCUUUAUUUUCAUAAAGAAAAUAUGCAGCACUGAGAAUGAAGUUGCACCCAGCUCUCUACAGACAUAGGUGUAACAAAAGACCCCAGGGUUUUCUACUCUGGGGCAGAAUCAGUUUCUAAAAUAAAAUUAAGAAGUAAAAGCUGAAUCAUGGUUACAACUUCUUACCUAUUGAAAAUGAAAUGUGAGAUGCUUCAUGAUUUGCUUAUUUGCUACUAAGUGGAUAUGUAAUCAAAUAAUUUGAGCCCUGGUUGAUGUGGCUCAGUGGAUUGAGUACUGGCCUGCGAACCAAAGGGUCUCUGGUUCAAUUUCUAUCAGGGCACAUGCCUAGGCUGUGAGCCAGGUCCCCAGUAAGAAGUGUGUGAGAGGCAACCACACAUUGAUGUUUCUCUCCCUCUCUGCUUUCCUUCCCCUCUAAGAGUAAAUAAAUAAUACCUUAAAAAAACAAAUAAUUUGAAAAUAUUUUAUUUCAUUCCAUUGGUAAUUUGUAACUUAUUUUCAUUAUGAAAAAUAAAGAAACUAUGUGUAAAGCCCUUUAAGAAUCCUUGCAAUUUAUUUACUUAAAGAGUUCAUUCAUUCAUUUUUAGAGAGAGUGGAAUGGAGGGAGAAAGAGAGGAAGAGAAGCAUCAAUGUAUGAGCAAUACAUGGAUAGAUUGCCUCUCACAUGCCCCUGAACAGGGAUCCGGCCCAUAGCCCAGGUAUGUGCCCUGACCAGGAAAUGAACCAGCGAUCCUUCAGGUUGCAGAGCAACACUCAGCUCACUGAGCCACACCAGUCAGGCCUACUGCAAUUUAUUUAAAGCAGUAGACGUACAUUUAAGAAGUUUCUGUGGUAUAAAAUACAUGCUUAUGUAAAAUUAUUCAAAACUUCUCACAAUGCAUGAAGAAUAAAAUUUUUCUCUCACAUUUUCCCUUCAAAUACUAUAUUAACAUUCUCCAAAGUGGGUAGGAUCAAG